rnacentral:rRNA from 1 species
AGUGAACGCUGGCGGUAGGCCUAACACAUGCAAGUCGAACGGCAGCACAGUAAGAGCUUGCUCUUACGGGUGGCGAGUGGCGGACGGGUGAGGAAUACAUCGGAAUCUACUUUUUCGUGGGGGAUAACGUAGGGAAACUUACGCUAAUACCGCAUACGACCUACGGGUGAAAGCAGGGGAUCUUCGGACCUUGCGCGAUUGAAUGAGCCGAUGUCGGAUUAGCUAGUUGGCGAGGUAAAGUCCCACCAAGGCGACGAUCCGAAGCUGGCCUGAGAGGAUGAUCGGCCACACUGGAACUGAGACACGGUCCAGACUCCUACGGGAGGCAGCAGCGGGGAAUAUUCGGCAAUGGGCGCAAGCCUGAUCCAGCCAUACCGCGUGGGUGAAGAAGGCCUUCGGGUUGUAAAGCCCUUUUGUUGGGAAAGAAAAGCAGCAGGUUAAUACCCCGCUGUUCUGACGGUACCCAAAGAAUAAGCACCGGCUAACUUCGUG